AGUUUGAUCCUGGCUCAGAACGAACGCUGGCGGCAGGCUUAACACAUGCAAGUCGAACGCUCCGCAAGGAGAGUGGCAGACGGGUGAGUAACGCGUGGGAAUCUACCCAACCCUGCGGAAUAGCUCUGGGAAACUGGAAUUAAUACCGCAUACGCCCUACGGGGGAAAGAUUUAUCGGGGUAUGAUGAGCCCGCGUUGGAUUAGCUAGUUGGUGGGGUAAAGGCCUACCAAGGCGACGAUCCAUAGCUGGUCUGAGAGGAUGAUCAGCCACAUUGGGACUGAGACACGGCCCAAACUCCUACGGGAGGCAGCAGUGGGGAAUAUUGGACAAUGGGCGCAAGCCUGAUCCAGCCAUGCCGCGUGAGUGAUGAAGGCCUUAGGGUUGUAAAGCUCUUUCACCGGUGAAGAUAAUGACGGUAACCGGAGAAGAAGCCCCGGCUAACUUCGUGCCAGCAGCCGCGGUAA
rnacentral:rRNA from 1 species